CUGAGCCAGCCUCUGCCCCCAGCAGGCCUUUGGAGCAUCUCUAUCAAUUGUGGCCAUUUACUAGACACUGGCAGACAUUUUUGUAAACCUCGCAUCUGUUUUUUCACUAAUUCACGCGGUAAUUAGGUGUUCUCACGCCGGCUUUGUGGCUUUCCAUAAACGGUAAGUGGAACCGCCUGUGCGUUAGAAUUAGUGCUGUGUUCUGUGCGAGGCUUAUUACCACCGAGGCUCUCUCUCUGCUCGCUGGAACGGCAGCUAGAAAACUGGGAGGAGAGCUUCCUGGCAGCAUUAGCAAACUAGCAGCCCCUGAAGGGCGACGAGAAAGAUAUGUAGAUGUGAUGUCUGGAACUCAUGCAGCUAUCUUGCAACGACCAGGAUGAGGCUAAGAGAAUAGGAGAGAUCCUUGCUCAAACAGGCUGAACUCGAGUAUUUUGGGCCCUAAGAAGGAAGGACAAAGAUCCCUGGAGAACUCUCCUGUGGUGUCCUUGUUUUGAGUAGCAAUGGAGGGCAUGUCAUUGGUGGUACACUUUACAGUUAUCAAAUACUGAGGCUAGAUCAUGAAGGAACUAGAGGAUGAAUGGACAUUACCCCUGGAUGCUGGUCUUGAACACAGAUGCCGUAACCAUAAUCCUUCAGGUGAAGCUGUUUUCAUCUUGGCCCCAGGAGCUUGUCCUCAUUUUCUGAGGCGACAGAAGAGGAACUGAGAACCCAAAUUCUUUGUGCAAUGCAGGCUCUCUGGGUGUCAAAUACCCAUAAAACCAUUGCAUCCCGGCCUCAAGGUGGUGGUAUUUGCCUCCCACUCUCAAAGGAACAUCUGGAAGCCUGAAUGGAGAAGGAGGGCUGAUCAGCCAUCAGCUCAGCUGGGGCAGUGUUCCCUGACCUGUCAGCUCUUCCCCUUCAGACCUCAGAGGAUAGAGAGGGUCAGCUGGCAACCUCCACUGAGCCUGUGAACCAGUCCCAGGAGCUUCUCCAGCAGGUGUUUGUCCUUAGGCGGAGAUGUUUCCUGGAUGCCUCACUCCUUUGCCUCUCAAGGAUAAAUGCCCCGAUGACAGAAACCCCCAGCCCCUGCCCAGUGACAGGAAGUGCUGACUUCAACACUGGGUCCUGCCAUUUACCAGAGAGCCCUUGAAGAAAAAAUCAAGAGGAGAAAGGCCCAAAAGAAAGAAAACACGGUGGGCCAGAAAAAUUUCAUCAGGCAGAUUGCUUCAAGAUGAAGACCAACCAGAGAAAAUAUUCCCAGGAGUUAAAAUACGCAGCACGUUUUAGAUACCAAUGACGGCGAUUUGCUUUCUCUUCAUUUCUGUCUUCACAUUGCUGACAACUCCCCUCAUUGUCUUAAAUAUGGAUUGCCAAAGUCAAUUAAAUACGCAAGAGGAACAUUGUACAUUUUGGAGGAAAGUAAUUAUUGUUACACCUUAGAGCAGCUUAAUGAAUACAUUAAUAAACGAUCCUUCGCCAUGUUUUUCUUUUCAUAGCCAUCAAAAUCUUUAUAAAACCUACAGCACAAUACAUAACAUCUCGUUACAAGAUUUGCUUUUAAAAAAAUCAAUGCAUACCUAA
rnacentral:lncRNA from 1 species